rnacentral:rRNA from 1 species
GUGAACGCUGGCGGUAGGCCUAACACCUGCAAGUCGCACGGCAGCACAGUAAGAGCUUGCUCUUCCGGGUGGCGAGUGGUGGACGGGUGAGGAAUACAUCGGAAUCUACUUUUUCGUGGGGGAUAACGUAGGGAAACUUACGCUAAUACCGCAUACGACCUACGGGUGAAAGCAGGGGAUCUUCGGACCUUGCGCGAUUGAAUGAGCCGAUGUCGGAUUAGCUAGUUGGCGGGGUAAAGGCCCACCAAGGCGACGAUCCGUAGCUGGUCUGAGAGGAUGAUCAGCCACACUGGAACUGAGACACGGUCCAGACUCCUACGGGAGGCAGCAGUGGGGAAUAUUGGACAAUGGGCGCAAGCCUGAUCCAGCCAUACCGCGUGGGUGAAGAAGGCCUUCGGGUUGUAAAGCCCUUUUGUUGGGAAAGAAAAGCAGCAGGUUAAUACCCCGCUGUUCUGACGGUACCCAAAGAAUAAGCACCGGCUAACUUCGUG